CCUACGGGAGGCAGCAGUGAGGAAUAUUGGUCAAUGGACGAGAGUCUGAACCAGCCAAGUAGCGUGAAGGAUGACUGCCCUAUGGGUUGUAAACUUCUUUUAUAAAGGAAUAAAACGAGGCACGUGUGCCUUUUUGCAUGUACUUUAUGAAUAAGGAUCGGCUAACUCCGUGCCAGCAGCCGCGGUAAUACGGAGGAUCCGAGCGUUAUCCGGAUUUAUUGGGUUUAAAGUGAGCGUAGAUGGGUUGUUAAGUCAGUUGUGAAAGUUUGCGGCUCAAUCGUAAACGUGCAAUUGAUACUGGCAGUCGUGAGUACAGUUGAGGUAGGCGGAAUGCGUGGUGUAGCGGUGAAAUGCUUAGAUAUCACGAAGAACCCCGAUUGCGAAGGCAGCUUACUAAACUGUGACUGACAUUGAUGCUCGAAAGUGUGGGUAUCAAACAGGAUUAGAUACCCUAGUAGUC
rnacentral:rRNA from 1 species